GACGAACGCUGGCGGCGUGCCUAAUACAUGCAAGUAGAACGCACAGUUUAUACCGUAGCUUGCUACACCAUAGACUGUGAGUUGCGAACGGGUGAGUAACGCGUAGGUAACCUGCCUGGUAGCGGGGGAUAACUAUUGGAAACGAUAGCUAAUACCGCAUAAUAUUAAUUAUUGCAUGAUAAUUAAUUGAAAGGUGCAAUUGCACCACUACCAGAUGGACCUGCGUUGUAUUAGCUAGUAGGUGAGGUAACGGCUCACCUAGGCGACGAUACAUAGCCGACCUGAGAGGGUGAUCGGCCACACUGGGACUGAGGCACGGCCCAGACUCCUACGGGAGGCAGCAGUAGGGAAUCUUCGGAAAUGGACGACAGGCUGACCGAGCAACGCCGCGGGAGUGAAGAAGGUUUUCGGAUCGUAAAGCUCAGUUGUAAGAGAAGAACGGGUGUGAGAGUGGAAAGUUCACACUAUGACGGUAUCUGACCAGAAAGGGACGGCUAACUACGUG
rnacentral:rRNA from 1 species